UCAUUUCAUCCUCAUCACCCAUCCAUCUCCACCACCACAUCAUCACCAUCUAUCAUCAUCCCAUCUUCCACCAUCACCCCCUCGCCCAACACUCGCGACCAGCAACCCCACACCAGCAUCAUUCCCUUCAUUUUGUUGAUGCCGCAUCAUCCGCCACCAGCUACCCGUGUCUAGCAAGCUGCAUCCGUCACGGAAGCUAGCUCUUUCGCGACCAGCUUGUUUCGGCAAGCUCA
rnacentral:lncRNA from 1 species